UGGGGAAUUUUGGACAAUGGGCGAAAGCCUGAUCCAGCAAUGCCGCGUGUGUGAAGAAGGCCUUCGGGUUGUAAAGCACUUUUGUCCGGAAAGAAAUCCUUGGCUCUAAUACAGUCGGGGGAUGACGGUACCGGAAGAAUAAGCACCGGCUAACUACGUGCCAGCAGCCGCGGUAAUACGUAGGGUGCAAGCGUUAAUCGGAAUUACUGGGCGUAAAGCGUGCGCAGGCGGUUUGCUAAGACCGAUGUGAAAUCCCCGGGCUCAACCUGGGAACUGCAUUGGUGACUGGCAGGCUAGAGUAUGGCAGAGGGGGGUAGAAUUCCACGUGUAGCAGUGAAAUGCGUAGAGAUGUGGAGGAAUACCGAUGGCGAAGGCAGCCCCCUGGGCCAAUACUGACGCUCAUGCACGAAAGCGUGGGGAGCAAACAGGAUUAGAUACCCUGGUAGUCCACGCCCUAAACGAUGUCAACUAGUUGUUGGGGAUUCAUUUCCUAGUAACGUAGCUAACGCGUGAAGUUGACCGCCUGGGGAGUACGGUCGCAAGAUUAAAACU
rnacentral:rRNA from 1 species